UAGGUGUAUUCCUGGGUAUCUCAUGCUUUUGGGUGCAGUUGUCACUGGAACCGACUCCUUAAUUUCUCUUUCUUCAGAGUCAUCGUUGGCGUAUAGAGAGGUGACUGAUUUCUUGGCAUAGAUUUAGGAUCCUGCCACGCUGCCGAAUUUGCUGUAUGAGUUCUACGAUCUUGGGGUGGAGUCUUUUGGGUUUUCCGGGUACAGUACCAUGCAUGCCAUCGGUGAAGAGGGCAAGUUUGACUACUUCUUUGCCAAUGUGAAUGCCUUUUAUUUUUUCUGUCGCUUGAUUGCUGAGGCCGAGAUGUCUAGUAGUAUGUUGAGAAGACGUGGUGAGGGUGGACAUCCCUGUCUCUCGUUCCUGAUGUUCGAAGAAAGGCUCCCAGUGUUUCCACAUUGUGGAUGAUAAUUUGCCACGGGCUUUUCGUAGAUGGAUUUGAAGAUGCUGAGGGACGUUCCCUCUAUCCCUGUACUCUGAAGGGUUUGGAUCUGCCAUGGAUGCCGUAUUUUGUCAAAUGCUUCCUCUGCGUCUCUUGAGAGGAUCAUCUGGUUCUUGUUUUCUCUCUUGCAGAUCUGAUGAAGCCCAUCGAGUGUUCUCCGAGUGCUGAAGCAGCCUUGCACCCUGGCGAUUAACCCCACUGGGUCGUGAUCUGAUGAAGCCCAUCGAGUGUUCUCCGAGUGCUGAAGCAGCCUUGCACCCUGGCGAUUAACCCCACUGGGUCGUGAUCUGAUGAAGCCCAUCGAGUGUUCUCCGAGUGCUGAAGCAGCCUUGCACCCUGGCGAUUAACCCCACUGGGUCGUGAUCUGAUGAAGCCCAUCGAGUGUUCUCCGAGUGCUGAAGCAGCCUUGCACCCUGGCGAUUAACCCCACUGGGUCGUGGUGAGUAACUUCUUAAUCAUGUCCCGUCGGAUCCUGUUGGCUCAUAUCUUGUGGAGAAGGUGUGCGUCCGCCUUAAUCAGGGACAUCGGUCCAGCAUUGUCCCCUUUUGGGGUCUUGGGUUUUGGAGUUAAGGUGAUGCUGGCCUCCAAGAACGAGCUUGGAAGUAUUCCAUCUCUUUCUAUCUUUCGGAGCAGCUUUAGUAGCAUAGGUAGUCUUUCUUCUUGAAGC